rnacentral:lncRNA from 1 species
UUUGAGCAUAUAUGAUGAGAUUUUCGGCAUGUGAACGAUUCGCGACGCACAUACUGAGAUGAGAAAAUUUACGUACCACAUAUUUAACCAUGAUCCUUGCAGGAUUACAUCAUCAUGUUCCGAAGGUGUGCACGCAGUCGCCGCUUACUGCCACAUACCACAAGUCGACGGAGGCCUGGUAUUACAGCAAUAAUGCAGGGCGUUGUAAAUCGGUGCCACCUCGCUCUUGCGUUGACGGAGGCAACAGUUUCCCUACUCUGCGUGAAUGCAAAAAAAGGUGUCAACCUAUCAAUAACACGAAGCCUGAAAUAUGUCUAAUGGUGGCCAUGCACACUUGUGGAGAGAGGUAUCCUGCUUGGAGUUUUGAUAUUACUGACAGGCAUUGCAAGAUGCUGGAGCACACUGCUUGCAGAGGAAAGAUAAUGGUCUUCCCAUCGGAGACAGUUUGUCAGGCUAUUUGUUUACCGCAUCAAAUGCCCGAAGCCAUUUGCAGUUGGAAAGCAUAUCCUCAAAAGUGCUCAGCAUUUCACAACAACAGAUGGUUUUUUUCGUUACUCAAAGGCGUCUGUGCUACUCUUCCUAACAAUCUCUGCGUAAGAAGUGGUAACAGCUUCCCGACGCACGCAGCUUGCAUGAAGAGGUGCAGUUAUCACGCACACGGCACACAUUCAUCAAGACCACCCAUGGCGAAGCACGAAUCGAACUACCUCAAGGAAAAGACACAGGAUAGCACGGGCCCUGAUUUCGUGGCAUAUGCAAGCUGUAUUCCAGAGAACCUCUCAUUAAUGGAAUCACAAAUUAAGACAACGAUUUUUAGAUAAAUUACAAUUAAGAUAUGUACGUUUGCACAUACGGCUUAAUUUAAAACGUCUUGCUCUCUUUUUAUUAACGAUAUAUAUCAUGCUGACAGGGCACUAUCCAACCGCAAGCUUUUUCAAUGACAUGUACUGCUGUCUGAAGCCUGUCCAUAUUUUUUUUACCAACCUUGCGUCACCACACGGACCACGUAUUAACGGGGGAAGUAUUUCAUUCAUUUCUCAAGAGCCACGACUGAUUUGAUCAACUCCAGGAUGUCCAGAAGGCCCACGAUGUGGCGGUGAGGCUGGGCCUCCCUGUCACAACGUGGCAGCGGCCCGCAGCCUCGCCCCUAUAAAAACGACGUAAAGAUUCUUCGAGACCUGAAUAAAGUUUACUACG